UACGUAGGGUCCGAGCGUUGUCCGAAAUUAUUGGGCGUAAAGAGCGUGUAGGCGGUUUGGUAGGUCCGUUGUGAAAACUCGAGGCUCAACCUCGAGACGCCGAUGGAAACCAUCAGACUAGAGUCCGGAAGAGGAGAGUGGAAUUCCUGGUGUAGCGGUGAAAUGCGCAGAUAUCAGGAAGAACACCCGUGGCUAAGGCGGCUCUCUAGUACGGUACUGACGCUGAGACGCGAAAGCGUGGGGAGCGAACAGG
rnacentral:rRNA from 1 species